GUUGAGAGGCAUCGGGCAGCUGAAGCGACAUUUUCACAUGCUACACAGUGAGAUUCGAGUUGGUCCUCCAUCCAAAGUCUGCCAAAUUGUAGAGAUUUGUGCACUGCUGCACAACAUCUGCAAAGCAAGAAACAUCAUUCUUCCUGAGGAAGAAGAACAUCUUGCUGCAGCCAAGGAUGGAGGCAACGAGGAGCGACCCCCAGCACAGAAAGUUCAGUCGCCAUGAAGGAAUCCUUUACAGGGAUGAAUUUGUUGUGCUUCACUUCAACAUUGAUGAGUGAUGAGACACCAGUGUCAUGACUGCUGAGAUUGGUGUUAUUCUCAUGUGGAUGAUCUCCUCCUCAUCCACAAACACCAGUGAUGUACCAGGCAAGUCUGGCCCCUGUUGGUGCUGCAAGUGGUGUGGCAGGUGCCUCCUCCUCAACACCCACUGCCUUGGUCACCACUUCUCUCUGUUGGGCUGCUUGUACACUGCUGGCAUCAUUAGUUCUAACUUCAGAAACUAAGCUGAUAAUGUUUUUGGUUUUAUUGCUAAGGACAAAAGUAACAGAAACCAGUAAAUCUAGCUAAGGGUA